GCCAUCCCUGGGCAGUGCCUGGGUGUGUAAGAAAGGAAACUGAGCAAACCAAGAGAAGCAAGCCAAUAGGCUCCAUGUGGUCUCUGUUCUAUAAGCUGUAGGGUGAGGUUAACCCUUUCCUUCCCAGGUUGCUUUGGCUAUAGUGCUGAAGCAGUAGAACACAGACUAAAUCAUGGUGGGUGAGUGUGUCAGUGUUUCUCUCUGUAUAGCAAAAGGCAUGGCUUGUUUUUCCCUUUCAGUUUCUGCUAUUUGUGAAGACAGCACUCUCUUAUUGACUCCCCACCCUUCCAAAUAUGCUUAAAGAGGAAAGCUUUCCCAGUUAAGCUUAAAUUUUACUUAUAUAGGUGCUUUGCAUAGCUAAGUUUUCCAAGUGGAGAAUCUCACUGGUUUUUAUUUUCAGGCUUGCUUUUAACUAACUACACUUGUUUUAUUCUUAUUCUUGGUUAGGAAGAUGAUACUUCAAACAUCUACUAGUUAGUAAAUUGCUUUUCUCUCUAUUCAGAACUUGGUUAUCCCCUUAUCACAAGCGCCCCUUUUCUUGGGUAGUUUUUAUUUUGCAAUACCAGAGAUUGAUCUUGGGAUCUUGUGCAUGCUGGACAAGCCCCUUAUCAUUGCUAUGUGACCCUCAGAUUUUUAUUUAUAAGGGACAGAGGGUUGCUGAGGGUAUCUGUAUAAAGCGCAUUCUAAGAAGCUAUCACAGCCAGGAAUAGUGUCUGUGUGUGUCCACCUCGGGGUAAUGCUUAUGAGCAGCAGUAUACACGACACAACAGAGAGACAGAAAGAACCUGACCCCCGAUGAAAUCUUGUAAUUCUGAGUUAAUUUCAGGGCUGCAUCCACUUUGGAUUAUCUGCCCUCAUGGUACACACUAUGUAUCAUAUUUGUUAUUUGCAGCUGCAGGUCUCAGAGGUGACACAGAAAGUAUCUACAAUUAUCUGAGAGCUGUAAAACAUAACUAUACACUCAACAUCAUUUUCAUGGAUCAUAAUGGAUGGAACAGAGGGCAAUAGCUUGUAGAUGGAGAAAGUAGGGGUACAUAUUUCAGUUAAUCCCACAGGAGGAACUAUGUAAGAUGAAAUGGGUUAACUGGUGAGAGUUCUCCAGCAUGCUGGCUCAGGGAGAGCUUAACUCCAGAAAUACUGAACCACAGAAAUUUUACAUGGCUAGGAGAAAAUGAGACAAUAUAUCUAUGACUGGCUAAACACCAUGACCUAUAGGUUUAUUAUAGCACUAAGAAUAUAUUUAAAGUGAAAGAACACUUCACUUACAGAAUCAAACUUUUUAACUCUUAAUCUGGCAUAGCCUGGGCAAGUUCAGUGCAGGUUCAUGGGUGAAGACAGUGACUUUUGUAGAAUUGACACAGGCACAUGACUGUGCUGAGGGAAAGGGUGGGAGGCACAUUCUGAAAGGCUAGAUAACGUAAGAAACUUGUUGGUGUCAGAAAUAGGGAUUCAGGCCUAGCAUCUUCAAACAUACAGUUCAGACUAUAUUGAAAACAUUUCUUAACAGGACGCUUAUAAUUAGUGGAGAAUAUCCUAGCUGAAAUACAAAUUGGCUCUAGCCUGUCUUCUGUGACAGCAGUGUGCAGACAUGCUUAGCCUGUCUUCUGUGACAGUGGUGUGCAGACAUGCUGACCCCAUCCGUACCUUUCAUCUUCUUCACCUCCAAAGAAAUUGUAUUAAUGUUCUUAAUCAUGGCUUCCACUUUUUGCUUGUGGUCAUGAUGAUUAUUCUUAAACAUCUGAUUAUAAAAGAGAAACAGAAGCAAUAUAUAGGAGCAGAGCUAUUUGCAUUGGGGGGUUGGUGAGGUGGUUCAGCAGUCAAGAGGACUUACAGCUCCUUCAACCUAAAUUCCAUUCCCAGCACUCACACUGGACAAUGGUUCCCCAGGACUGUUUACAACUCCAGCUCCAGGGGUCCAAUGUCCUUUUCUGGCCUCUUCAGACACCCAUGCAACACAGGGCACACACACAUGUAUAUUUUUUUAAAAAAUUAAAAUUUAGGUAG
rnacentral:lncRNA from 1 species